rnacentral:rRNA from 1 species
GACGAACGCUGGCGGCGUGCUUAACACAUGCAAGUCGAACGGAAAGGCCCUGCUCUUGUUGGUUUCUCGAGUGGCGAACGGGUGAGUAUCACGUGAGUAACCUGCCCUUGACUUUGUGAUAUCUUCACGAAACUCGGGCUAAUACCCGGGAUGAUCUCCUGCUGCAUGGUGGUGGUUGGAAAGUUUCGGCGGUGGGGGAUCGACUCGCGGCUUAUCAGCUUGUUGGUGUGGUAGGGGCUUACCAAGGCUUUGACGGGUAGCCGGCAUGAGAGGGUUACCGGCGACAUUGGGACUGAGAUACGGCCCAGAAUCCUACGGGCGGCAGCAGUGGAGAAUAUUGCGGAAUGGCCGGAAGCCUGAUGCAGAAACGCCGCGUGCGGGAUGACGGCCUACGGGUUGUAAACCGCUUUCGAAGGUGACGAAGCGUGAGUGACGGUAAUGGGUAAAGAAGCAACGGCUAACUACGUG